rnacentral:rRNA from 1 species
AGUGAACGCUGGCGGUAGGCCUAACACAUGCAAGUCGAACGGCAGCACAGUAAGAGCUUGCUCUUACGGGUGGCGAGUGGCGGACGGGUGAGGAAUACAUCGGAAUCUACUUUUUCGUGGGGGAUAACGUAGGGAAACUUACGCUAAUACCGCAUACGACCUACGGGUGAAAGCAGGGGAUCUUCGGACCUUUCGCGAUUGAAUGAGCCGAUGUCGGAUUAGCUAGUUGGCGGGGUAAAGGCCCACCAAGGCGACGAUCCGUAGCUGGUCUGAGAGGAAGAUCAGCCACACUGGAACUGAGACACGGUCCAGACUCCUACGGGAGGCAGCAGUGGGGAAUAUUGGACAAUGGGCGCAAGCCUGAUCCAGCCAUACCGCGUGGGUGAAGAAGGCCUUCGGGUUGUAAAGCCCUUUUGUUGGGAAAGAAAAGCAGCAGGUUAAUACCCCGCUGUUCUGACGGUACCCAAAGAAUAAGCACCGGCUAACUUCGUG